rfam:Erinaceus europaeus unplaced genomic scaffold scaffold00492, whole genome shotgun sequence
GUCUUCGGCCAUACCACCCUGAACGCCCGAUUUCAUCCAAUCUCAUAAGCUAAGCAGGGUUGGGCCUGGUUAGUACUUGGAUGGGAGAAGUCUAAAAUAUUUAUUUAU